GGAUCUCUUGGUUCUGGCAUCGAUGAAGAACGCAGCGAAAUGCGAUAAGUAGUGUGAAUUGCAGAAUUCAGUGAAUCAUCGAAUCUUUGAACGCACAUUGCGCCCCUUGGUAUUCCAUGGGGCAUGCCUGUUCGAGCGUCAUUUGUACCCUCAAGCUUUGCUUGGUGAUGGGUGUUUGUCCUGUCCUUUUGCGACUGGACUCGCCUUAAAGUUAUUGGCAGCCGGCAUAUAGGCCUUUGGAGCGCAGCACAAUUUGCGCUUUGUGUCCAUUACGACGACGUCCAUUAAGCCCUUUUUACACUCUUGACCUCGGAUCAGGUAGGGAUACCCGCUGAACUUAAGCAUAUCAAUAAGCGGAGGA
rnacentral:rRNA from 1 species